rnacentral:rRNA from 1 species
UGGGCAACCUGCCCUCAGCUCUGGGAUAACCCCGGGGAAACCGGGGCUAAUACCGGAUACGACCUCCGCGGGCAUCUGCGGAGGUGGAAAGGUUUUCCGGCUGAGGAUGGGCCCGCGGCCUAUCAGCUAGUUGGUGGGGUGAUGGCCCACCAAGGCGACGACGGGUAGCCGGCCUGAGAGGGCGACCGGCCACACUGGGACUGAGACACGGCCCAGACUCCUACGGGAGGCA